rnacentral:rRNA from 1 species
GACGAACGCUGGCGGCGUGCCUAAUACAUGCAAGUAGAACGCUGAAGAGAGGAGCUUGCUCUUCUUGGAUGAGUUGCGAACGGGUGAGUAACGCGUAGGUAACCUGCCUGGUAGCGGGGGAUAACUAUUGGAAACGAUAGCUAAUACCGCAUAAUAGCAGUUAUUGCAUGAUAACUGUUUAAAAGGUGCAAUUGCAUCACUACCAGAUGGACCUGCGUUGUAUUAGCUAGUUGGUGAGGUAACGGCUCACCAAGGCGACGAUACAUAGCCGACCUGAGAGGGUGAUCGGCCACACUGGGACUGAGACACGGCCCAGACUCCUACGGGAGGCAGCAGUAGGGAAUCUUCGGCAAUGGACGGAAGUCUGACCGAGCAACGCCGCGUGAGUGAAGAAGGUUUUCGGAUCGUAAAGCUCUGUUGUAAGAGAAGAACGAGUGUGAGAGUGGAAA